UGUAUGUUUUAUUCAAGAAAAAUAUAGUUUAUAUGGUGUGCCCAUCAUAGUUUCAGCAAGCUAUUUAGAAUAAAUUAACAGAAAUUAUUUACAGAGUAUGAUUAAGUGAUCAUACUUUUUAUUAAUCCUAAUCAGUAUAUAGUAUCUAAUUUAGUUAAUUUAAAAAAUAAUCUUUUUUUGGAUAAAAAUUGAGUGAUUGCAUAAAAAUUUAUUAUUUCCACUUAUUAUAAAAAAUUAUUAACUUUUAUCAGAUUAAAGUUGGAUUUUAUUAACUCAAUCAUAUUACUGAGUCUCAUCAAAGAUACACAUUAUGGUGAAGCCACUCAGAGCCCUUCGUGACGGCUCAUAGGCCACUAUAUAUUGGUCAACUGAAAGGUUGAAAAAUGGACUUUAAUCAGAUAAUCUUGGUCCUUCCUAGAAAAAUCUAAAGGUAUAUAUGACUGGCAAUUGAACACAGUUUUUCAAAUGGCCAGCAAAUGCUUUGCCAUGUUGCCAUCAUGGGACUUUAUUGUAAAGUUUCAGAUCUAUAUGGCCACACAGAUCUGAUUUUGAUUUUGCUUUUGUUUUUAUCCAGUCUAGCUUUUUUUAAAUUAGAUUCAAUAUAUAGGUUAAAUAGAUAUGAUGACAGAAUAUACCCACAGUGGCCAAAUUGCAGCGCUUUAGUAUCUUUAAUAUGGCUUCUAUUCUAUGAAAGUUAAUAGUUAAUAUGAAGCAAAUACCUGUUUAAUUUA
rnacentral:lncRNA from 1 species